GGCUGGCAGGUGUUUGGUACCUCAUCCUUCCUGGCUGUCGUGAGAUGACUACGCUUGAUUUUACAGAAACGGAGAAUUAGGGCUCUCCUAAGUGGAUGAUGUUUAGAUGUUCCCUAUGAAACUUGAGGACGGGGCUCUGAAGGAAGAUAAAUUUUAAUUUAAUUUAAUUUUUUAAAGAGAUGAGAUUCCAAGAACAGCUUUUGGUAGAGAUCGUCCCAGGACAAAGUUAUCUCCCCGGUGGUUCCCGGCACCAAGACGCGCCCCACCUGCAGAAGGCUGGCACUCUGAGCCCUAGGACGGCGAUCAGAGACGGCCCCCUCGCGGGUGGGAAGUCAGCGAGGGGAUCUGAGCAGAAGUUCGCCUGCCCCGGAGGCAAAGGCGCGAGUAAGGCAAGUGCCCGGGGCAGGAUGCGACUUCUGGAAGCCAGGCUGACUGGAGGGAACUGAGGGGAACUCUGCAGUCGUCGCUCCCGCGGGCCAGAACUGAGCAAGGCUGGAGGAACCCUGGCCCGCCGAAGUCGAGCCUCGCACCACCCGCGGGCGCUGCCUCGCGUGAGCCUCACGGGAGCUCACCUGGCGGCCGUCAGCCGGGAGGAGGAACUUGCCGAGGAGGAAGCCCAGCAGGGAUACACUGUCUUCAGUUUAGUCUGAAUUUAAACCUUCCUAUGUGAGAAGCAGCACAAUUACCAACUCUAGUUGCCAAGAAGAAACUGCUUCUGUCUCUCCAGAACUGGGAUUACAGGGUCUCUCUUCAUAACCCUGGCUGCUGGAACUCAUUGUGUUGACCAGGCUGACAUCUAAAUCACAGAGUGCUAGGAUUAAAGGCAAGGACCACAACACCUGUAAAGACGUUUUAAAAGUCUAUUUGUAUGAAUGUCUUGCCUACUUGGUUGUCUGUGCACCAUGUGUGCAGUGCCUUUAGACAUUGGAAGAGGGCAUUGGAUCCCCUGGAACUAGAGUGACAGACAGUUGUGAGCUGCUAUGGGAGUGCUAGGAGCCACACAUAUUGCUGUAAUGCCCCCAAAUACAUCAUGAACACAUGUAAAAUAAUAAAUUGAAAAUUAAAAAAAUCAUAAAACAGUGCUCAGAGAAAAUAUCUAAAAUAAGAAAAUAAAAUUUAUAAAUAAAUUUCACAUAAUAAAUAAAUGUCAUAAAUAAAAAUAUGUUCAUAUAACACA